rnacentral:rRNA from 1 species
AUUGAACGCUGGCGGCAGGCCUAACACAUGCAAGUCGAACGAGUGGCGGACGGGUGAGUAAUGUCUGGGAAACUGCCCGAUGGAGGGGGAUAACUACUGGAAACGGUAGCUAAUACCGCAUACCAUCGGAUGUGCCCAGAUGGGAUGAGCUUGUAGGUGAGGUAACGGCUCACCUAGGCGACGAUCCCUAGCUGGUCUGAGAGGAUGACCAGCCACACUGGGACUGAGACACGGGCCAGACUGCUACGGGAGGCAGCAGGGGGGAAUAUUGCACAAUGGGCGCAAGCUGGAAUCAGCCAUGCCGCGUGUAUGAAGAAGGCCUUCGUGUGGUAAAGUACUUUCAGCGUGGAGGCGUUACCCGCAGAAGCAGCACCAGCUAACUCCGUGCCAGCAGCCGCGGUAAUUC